UCUCCGUUGGUGAACCAGCGGAGGGAUCAUUACCGAGUUUACAACUCCCAAACCCCUGUGAACAUACCUUAAUGUUGCCUCGGCGGAUCAGCCCGCGCCCCGUAAAACGGGACGGCCCGCCAGAGGACCCAAACUCUAAUGAUUCUUAUUGUAACUUCUGAGUAAAACAAACAAAUAAAUCAAAACUUUCAACAACGGAUCUCUUGGUUCUG
rnacentral:misc_RNA from 1 species